rnacentral:lncRNA from 1 species
CCAGAGACGAUUCUGAAGGGCCAACCAGGCGAAGAGCUUGCAUUUCGGAGGGGCCCAAGGGGACCAAAUCCUGAUCGGGAGAGACGAGAGAGUCGAGCCAAAGAAUUGAGCUUUGUAAGCCGAAGCAACAUUGCAGGUUCCGGAGGGGCUGAGCUUCCAGGAGACGGAGUCUUCCACAGCAGGGUCGAGGGUCACGGGCUGCAGGUGGUUCCAUAGGCGAACGAAUUCCUCAAUAUGGGCAGCAGUGGAGAGGCUCUGAAGGUUAAAAUCAUUGAUCCAAGCGUGCUCCAAGAUGGCAUUUUGCACCGUCAUAUUCUAUUUCCUUGAGAUGUUAAAGAUGAGGGGAGCAAAAUCUUUGAGCGUCUGAUUUCCCGGCCAGGCCGAAUUCAGAACCUACAGCCUUUUGACUUUGCACGUAAUGGCUGCUCUGGUUCUGGUAUCGCUACUGCCUUGCAAUUGUGGUACUGCCCAGUGGAAGCACUCAUCUGUGCCUGUGCGAGAAAAAGAAAAAAAAUGAAAGAACGAUGAAAUAAUAGCAGGAGAAUUAAGUUUCUUGAAAUAAACAAACACCCCGUAACCAGCUAGUACACCGUAGGACAUGGAAAAGAACGCACUGGGUCGUAAUCUUGAGACCAAGCAGCUGACGCGUGACAAAUGUGCGUUGAAAGAAAUGACAUAUCAUACAUUCAGAAAUGUUUUGAACCAUGCGAACCGAGGACAUGGGUUCAAUCACAGUCUAAUUUCACACCAACAAAGUAUAAGCAUUUCAAUUCAUACAUUCGACCAGAUCAACAGCAAACAAGUGGCCCA